GUGCUCACUUGGGCAGCACAUAUACUAAGAUUGGAAUGAUACAGAGAUUAGCAUGGUCCCUGUGCAAGGAUUACAGGCAAAUUCAUGAAGCAUUCCAUAUUUAA